rnacentral:tRNA from 1 species
AGAUCGGAGGCUAAAUCCUCCUUAGUGCCA